rnacentral:rRNA from 1 species
CCUACGGGGGGCUGCAGUGGGGAAUAUUGGACAAUGGGGGCAACCCUGAUCCAGCCAUGCCGCGUGUGUGAAGAAGGCCCUCGGGUUGUAAAGCACUUUCAGUGAGGAAGAACGCCUGGUGGUUAAUACCCAUCAGGAAAGACAUCACUCACAGAAGAAGCACUGGCUAACUCCGUGCCAGCAGCCGCGGUAAUACGGAGGGUGCGAGCGUUAAUCGGAAUUACUGGGCGUAAAGCGCGCGUAGGUGGCUUGAUAAGCCGGUUGUGAAAGCCCCGGGCUCAACCUGGGAACGGCAUCCGGAACUGUCAAGCUAGAGUGCAGGAGAGGAAGGUAGAAUUCCCGGUGUAGCGGUGAAAUGCGUAGAGAUCGGGAGGAAUACCAGUGGCGAAGGCGGCCUUCUGGACUGACACUGACACUGAGGUGCGAAAGCGUGGGUAGCAAACAGGAUUAGAUACCCCUGUAGUC